rnacentral:rRNA from 1 species
UACGUAGGGUGCGAGCGUUGUCCGGAAUUAUUGGGCGUAAAGAGCUUGUAGGCGGUCUGUCGCGUCUGCUGUGAAAAUCCGGGGCUCAACCCCGGACUUGCAGUGGGUACGGGCAGACCAGAGUGUGGUAGGGGAGACUGGAAUUCCUGGUGUAGCGGUGAAAUGCGCAGAUAUCAGGAGGAACACCGAUGGCGAAGGCGGGUCUCUGGGCCACUACUGACGCUGAGAAGCGAAAGCAUGGGGAGCGAACAGG